ensembl:lncRNA
GACAGUUUUGUUAUAAAACACAAGUCACAAAUUAAUAAAUAUGGACAAUGUCAUCAUUUACACAAGUAAUUCAGGAUAUAAAAUAAAUUAGAAAGAAAUACAUUAUUUUAAAAAGUGAGUUUUUUUUCUCUUUGGUGCAAGCAAUAGAUAGCAUUAUACUCUAUGCCUCUAUAUGCAUAGUGCUGCAUUCAUUGAGAUUUGAAACACAUAGAAACCCACAGAGCAGCAUGCCACAGGCUCAUCUAGUCACAUGACUUCCUGGUUCCCAUGGUAACCACGGUCAAGGCUACAGGCUACUGUCUGUACAAUAGGGUCAAGAGCACAAGGUGGCAUUAGUGAAUUGGCACUGUAGUGCUAAUCAGUGUCUUUGGCAAUAGUUAUCCUUCUUGGAAGAUCUGACUUAGUAGCUGUCCGCAGCAAACAAGAUAUGAGGGACUACACAGAUCGAGAUGGAGGGUUGAGAAAACGCUGUUGUAGAGUAGAGCAGUCUCACUAGCAGUAAGAUAGGCCUAGAUAUAUAAAUAUAUGGAUAUGCCUACACACUGAUGGUUCCUUCUUGGUUUAUAAAGCCAUUGGCAGUGUAGCCUACUGUUGAAUCACCAGCAGACUGCAUGGUCAAUGUCUAAACCUGACACAGAGCACAGGACUGGCCUUAGCUUCUCUGACUGAUGCUUCUGGUAGGCAGGCUGCAGUGGUUAUAAUAGACAUGCCAUCUAGGUCAUGGGAUGGUUGAGGGACAGAUAUGUGGUGGACCGAUCGUUCCCCAAUCACCACUACUAGAAGAACAACGCAGUCCAGUGAUGUUGCUGAUUUGUAAUGUAAUAUUGGUAGGGAAAAAGACAGAUGAAUUAGGCUCACUGCCUGAGUACUGCAUGUCUGUCAAGUCUUCUGUCAAGUCUUAUAAUCCACAUUAUAAUCCACAUUAUAAUCCACAUUUCCUGGUGCUGCUGCAGGAUUCAUUUAUUUUCUGUAGCAAACUGGCUCAAAUGAAGCUCCUCCAUCUGUCAAUGUUGUGGACCAUAUUCUGCCAGGGGAGUAAACAGGUGGUUCAACUCGCCUUCACUUUAAUGACUCAUUAGAACGUGAACAACGACAGAUGCUUGGGAGGGAGGAAUGAUUGUCUAUGAAUUGACCAUUUACAUUAUGAUCUGUUUACAUGCUGCCCACAAGUCCUUAGACUGGCAGUCGUAGUGUGGUGGAUGUCGCUGUGCUUAGUUUAGAAGCAGCGUCACACCAGGUCAGGGAGUCAAGGGAGAUCUUACAUUCAUUGUCCAUUCAGGGGUAUAGGAAGAUAUGGUUUGGUAGGAUAUAGUAUGGUAGGCUAUGUUAUGGUAGGGUAUGAUAGGGAACUGUAUGGUAUAGUAUGGUAGGUAAUAUGGUAUUGUAGGGUAUAGGAAGAUAUGGUUUGGUAGGAUAUGGUUUGGUAGGAUAUAGUAUGGUAGGCUAUGUUAUGGUAGAGUAUGGUAGGGAACUGUAUGGUAUUGUAUGGUAGGGUAUAGUAUGGUAGGGUAUGUUAUGGUAGGGUAUGUUAUGGUAGGGAAAUGUAUGGUAUGGUUGGGCAUAGUAUGGUAGGAUGUGGUAGGAUAUGGCAUGGUAGGAUAUGGUAUUGUAUGGUAGGAUAUGGUAUUGUAGGGUAUGGGAGGGUAUAGGAAGAUAUAGUUUGGUAGGCUAUGUUAUGGUAUACUAUUGUAUGGUAGGGUACUGUAUAGUAUGGAAGGAUAUGGUAUGGUAGGAUAUAUGGUAUUGUAGGGUAUAGUAUGGUAGGAUAUAUGGUAUGGUAGGGUAUAGGAAGAUAUGGUUUGGUAGGCAAUGCUAUGAUAGGGUAUAGUAUGGUAGGAUAUGGUAUUGUAUUGCAUGGUAGGAUAUGGUAUUGUAGGAUAUGGUAUUGUAUGGUAGGAUAUGGUAUAGUAGCGUAUGGUAGGAUAUGGUAGGGUAUGGUAUGGUAUUGUAGGGUAUGGUAUUGUAGGGUAUAAUAAUGUAGGGUAGGGUAUAAUGAUGUAUGGUAGGAUAUGGUAGUAGGGUAGGAUAAGGUAUGGUAGUAUAUGGUAUUGUAGGGUAUAGUAUGGUAGGAUAUGGUAUAGUAGGGUAGGAUGUGGUAUGGUAGGAUAUUGUAAUGUAGGGUAUGGUAUGAUAUAGUAUUGUAGGGUAUAAAAUUGUAUGGUAGGAUAUGGUAUUCUAUGGUAGGGUGGUGUGUUAUGGUAGGAUAGUGUAAGAUAUGGUAUGUUAUGAUAUAGCAAUCCAACUGCAAUGGAUACCUAGGCUGCUAUGCUAAAUUAUUAACAGGGUAGAGCUGGAAAGAUAAACUGAAAAAAUGUAGACACCGACCAUACCGGUAACAUUGCAGACAUUUUACUGAUAUCCUUCAUUACGAUAAGUAGCCCAUUCUAGACAAAUGUGAUGUUGAAAUUAAAUAACUUUGUUAAUAUGGGUGAAUGUUCUUGGGACAAUUGAUGGCCACAACCAUCAAACUAGCAGUAGUAGUUUAAAGGAGAAUAGGAAACUGUGGUGUACAUUAAUGUUAGAAACUGUGGUGCACAUGAAUGUUAGAAACUGUGGUGCACAUUAAUGCUAGAAACUGUGGUGCACAUGAAUGUUAGAAACUGUGGUGCACAUUAAUGCUAGAAACUGUGGUGCACAGUAAUGCUAGAAACUGUGGUGCACAUUAAUGCUAGAAACUGUGGUGCACAUUAAUGCUAGAAACUGUGGUGCACAUUAAUGCUAGAAACUGUGGUGCACAUUCAUGUUAGAAACUGUGGUGCACAUUAAUGCUAGAAACUGUGGUGCACAUUAAUGCUAGAAACUGUGGUGCACAUUGUUAGAAACUGUGGUGCACAUUGUUAGAAACUGUGGUGCACAUUGUUAGAAACUGUGGUGCACAUUAAUGCUAGAAACUGUGGUGCACAUUAAUGCUAGAAACUGUGGUGCACAUUAAUGCUAGAAACUGUGGUGCACAUUAAUGAUAGAAACUGUGGUGCACAUUCAU